rnacentral:lncRNA from 1 species
UGACAGGGCCUUGCUCUGCAGCCCAGGGUGAUCUUGAAUUUGUGAUUCUCCUGUCUCAGCCUCCCAAGUGCUUCAAUUACAAGCAUGGACCAUCAUGCCCAACACUAUAUUUAAAGUCAAGAUUUUCUUCUUUGAGCCUGUCACCUCAAGAUCACAACAGGGCCGCCGCUUCUCAGGCACAACAUUUUCAUAAAGGCACAGGAGAAGAUCUCAAAUACAGAAAAGGCAAUGUCGCUAAAGUUCUAAUUCAAACUUUCACAUUACUUAUAAGGUGAGUUAUAAAUUAUUGCCCAGAAGUAGUAAAUGCUGAUCUUUUAAAUAUGCAAAAUGCAAAAUCCAAAAAAAAAAACUAGAAACUGAUUUAGUAUAUGGAAGCUGG